rnacentral:lncRNA from 1 species
ACCAACCCGGAUGAUUAUUGAGAAUCUUAUACCCAAGAGAUUGUAAUGUAUCUCUUUCCUUAGGAGGACCUAAUGGGGGCAAUAAUAUAACAUCACCGUCACCAUCAGGAGCAUAAUAGUCAACUCCAAAACGACCCAAUAACUGUUUCUGCUUAAAUAUUGCCCAUUCUUUUAACAUAAACGUUUCAUAAGGGAUUACAGGCU